rnacentral:rRNA from 1 species
UACGUAGGGUGCAAGCGUUAAUCGGAAUUACUGGGCGUAAAGCGUGCGCAGGCGGUGAUGUAAGACAGUUGUGAAAUCCCCGGGCUCAACCUGGGAAUUGCAUUUGUGACUGCACGGCUAGAGUGUGUCAGAGGGGGGUAGAAUUCCACGUGUAGCAGUGAAAUGCGUAGAGAUGUGGAGGAAUACCGAUGGCGAAGGCAGCCCCCUGGGAUAACACUGACGCUCAUGCACGAAAGCGUGGGGAGCAAACAGG